rnacentral:misc_RNA from 1 species
UUUCCGUAGGUGAACCUGCGGAAGGAUCAUUAAAGUUAUAGUCCCCCGGCCCGCUGGGCUGGGGUCUUCUAUACCACCCUUUGUUUAUUACACCUUUGUUGCUUUGGCAGGCCUGCCCUCGGGCUGCUGGCUCCGGCCGGCUCGCGUCUGCCAGAGGACCUAAACUCUGUUUGUAUAUGAAGUCUGAGUACUAUAUAAUAGUUAAAACUUUCAACAACGGAUCUCUUGGUUCUG